rnacentral:rRNA from 1 species
CCUACGGGGGGCAGCAGUAGGGAAUCUUCCACAAUGGGCGAAAGCCUGAUGGAGCAACGCCGCGUGGGUGAAGAAGGUCUUCGGAUCGUAAAACCCUGUUGUUAGAGAAGAAAGUGCGUGAGAGUAACUGUUCACGUUUCGACGGUAUCUAACCAGAAAGCCACGGCUAACUACGUGCCAGCAGCCGCGGUAAUACGUAGGUGGCAAGCGUUAUCCGGAUUUCUUGGGCGUAAAGAGAACGCAGGCGGUCUUUUAAGUCUGAUGUGAAAGCCUUCGGCUUAACCGGAGUAGUGCAUUGGAAACUGGGAGAGUUGAGUGCAGAAGAGGAGAGUGGAACUCCAUGUGUAGCGGUGAAAGGCGUAGAUAUAUGGAAGAACACCAGUGGCGAAAGCGGCUCUCUGGUCUGUAACUGACGCUGAGGUUCGAAAGCGUGGGUAGCAAACAGGAUUAGAUACCCCUGUAGUC